CGCUUGUACGUUAUGUGUAAAUUAAUGUUAUUCUGUUACUUGAGAUUAAUAUAUCAAGAGGAUAAUCGACAAUAAUGAUUUGUCAUAAAUAAUUUGGCAGCCUGACCCUGUACUAAAUACUUUUUUUUUCUUUGUAGCAUUUUAAACUUUUUUUCUUUUCUUUGCUGAAUUGCCCAUAAACAAGACCUCUGUAAUUUAUGUCUUCAGAUUAAUGCUGAAUUUCGUCGGAUCACAACCCUUACUUUACAAUCCAAAUUCCUGUCCCAACUGUAUCAGUUUUCUGAUGAUCAGCUGAAAGUGUUUACCAAAAAGGGUGGAGCGUUUAGAAAAAGCAUUCGGGAUGUGAUGGUGCCAAUGUCUCAGAAUGGAGACCAAGCAAGAGUGCAUUCUCAAGGGGCUAUGCAUCCACCUGAAUGAAGAUCCACAGGAUCUGGUGAAUGGAGUAUUUGGAUGAUGACCCUGCAAGAAACAAAGCGGACAUCAAGAAGACCUUUUGGGGAUCUGUGUUGUAAAGCAUGAAUUUUCUGAUGCAACAGAAGACCCUGAAGAUAUCGGCAUUGUACUGGAAGAUGUGGAGGUGCUCUCUGGUUUAGGUAAUGUAGCAUUGGCUACAGCCCUGCUACUUGGACUAAUAUAAUCUUUAAAACUUACUCAUCCACAGGAGUUCCAUUACACUUUUAAGAUGCUCCAAAAAAUGAUUCUUGAACUGGACUUGAGUAAAUUGUCUGCCAAAGCACGGGCACUGAAAACAA